rnacentral:rRNA from 2 species
AGAGUUUGAUCAUGGCUCAGAGUGAACGCUGGCGGCAGGCCUAACACAUGCAAGUCGAACGGCAGCACAGGAGAGCUUGCUCUCUGGGUGGCGAGUGGCGGACGGGUGAGGAAUGCGUCGGAAUCUGCCUAUUUGUGGGGGAUAACGUAGGGAAACUUACGCUAAUACCGCAUACGACCUACGGGUGAAAGUGGGGGACCUUCGGGCCUCACGCAGAUAGAUGAGCCGACGCCGGAUUAGCUAGUUGGCGGGGUAAAGGCCCACCAAGGCGACGAUCCGUAGCUGGUCUGAGAGGAUGAUCAGCCACACUGGAACUGAGACACGGUCCAGACUCCUACGGGAGGCAGCAGUGGGGAAUAUUGGACAAUGGGCGCAAGCCUGAUCCAGCCAUGCCGCGUGUGUGAAGAAGGCCUUCGGGUUGUAAAGCACUUUUGUCCGGAAAGAAAAGUAUCCGGUUAAUAACCGGGUGUCAUGACGGUACCGGAAGAAUAAGCACCGGCUAACUUCGUGCCAGCAGCCGCGGUAAUACGAAGGGUGCAAGCGUUACUCGGAAUUACUGGGCGUAAAGCGUGCGUAGGCGGGUUAAUAAGUCAGGGGUGAAAUCCCGGGGCUCAACCCCGGAACUGCCUUUGAUACUGGAAGUCUUGAGUAUGGUAGAGGUGAGUGGAAUUCCGAGUGUAGAGGUGAAAUUCGUAGAUAUUCGGAGGAACACCAGUGGCGAAGGCGGCUCACU